CCUACGGGCGGCAGCAGUGGGGAAUUUUGCGCAAUGGGCGAAAGCCUGACGCAGCAACGCCGCGUGCGGGAUGAAGGCCUUCGGGUUGUAAACCGCUUUCAGCAGGGAUGAAAUUGACAGUACCUGCAGAAGAAGCCCCGGCUAACUACGUGCCAGCAGCCGCGGUAAUACGUAGGGGGCAAGCGUUAUCCGGAUUCAUUGGGCGUAAAGAGCGCGUAGGCGGAUUGUUAAGUCAGAUGUGAAAACUGGGGGCUCAACCCGCAGCCUGCAUCUGAAACUGGCAGUCUUGAGUCUGGUAGAGGAAAGUGGAAUUCCCAGUGUAGCGGUGAAAUGCGCAGAUAUUGGGAGGAACACCAGUGGCGAAGGCGGCUUUCUGGGCCACGACUGACGCUGAGGCGCGAAAGCUAGGGGAGCGAACAGGAUUAGAUACCCGAGUAGUC
rnacentral:rRNA from 1 species